rnacentral:lncRNA from 1 species
ACGGGAUCGGGGCAUCUUGGGAAAUUUGAGUAGGUCAGCAGGGUCGCACGUGAGGGCAUGGGUUGGAGAACCUAGACGCAUGACAAUUUGAAUUAAGUUGUACAAUAGAUAACAUUUUAUUAGAAUUUGACUUUUUUGGAAGGUGAAUUGCAAUAAAUAAAAAAUUUUAAUAACUAAAUUUCUACUGAAAUUUAAUGAAGGCCAAGCAUAUACUUCCAUAUAAAUAUGAGCAUCAUUAAGAUUCAUCGUGCGAUAUACAAAAUAUAAUUUUUAAGUAUUUUUUAAAUACAAUAUAAUAAUAUAAUAAUAUAAUAAAUAAAAGUUUUUAAUAGCAAAAUUUAUAUUAUACAUUAAGUAAUAAAAU